rnacentral:lncRNA from 1 species
ACCUGGAAAAUUUUUCUAAUCAUUAAUUUCGAUUUGACAAAAUCAAGAAAAAAAUUCUAAAGCCCAAUUACAUAAAUCACAAAUUUAGAACAUAUUUUAACAUGCAAUAGGCAUAAAGGGUGCGUUUGGUACGCGGGACGGGACGGGACGGAACGGGACGAGGCGUUCCGUCCCGCGUUUGGUGCGCCAAAAAUGGGUGGAACGGGCUGUUCCACGGGACAGAUUUUGGGUGUUUUUGCGUUCCACCUCCCCCCUGGAACGGGUUUGUUCCACGUAUGUGGAACACAAUGUUUUACCAUUUUAAGACAAAUAUACCCCAUGUCUUUUUCAAAAAUUACACCUUCGUUCCGUCCCGUCCCGUCCCGUUCCGUCCCGUCCCGUCUCGUCCCGUCUGCGUACCAAACGCACCCAAAAGGAACCGGAGGUGAUGAGGAAUCGUUUGAUCUUUGGCCCAAAAGCUACAUUAGUUGGGCGGUAAAGGAUCCGAUUCGAGUAGACGCAGAAAUCGUCGAGAAGCUACUAGGCAAACUUCAGAAACCUGAACCAUUUCAGUAUCGAUGCGUAGCAAGUGAGCAGCCCAGAGAAACAAAGCUUCUGAGUUCCCUCGCUCGGAACGAAAUGUCGUCAUACUGGAGAAAAUCCGAGAAGAGGGGAAGAGAAAACUUCACCCAUUUAAGAAGGCCAUGGAUUUGCAACAGAGCGAUCGAGAAAGAAGCUACUGCGAGAGAUUUUGAGAAAUGAAGGAUGGAGGCUAGGGUUUUGUUUCUGAAAGAGGAAAGGCAAAGAAGUUGUGAGAGAUAAAUGAAAAGGAAAAGACAGCGCUAAA